UUGACCUCGGAUCAGGUAGGGAUACCCGCUGAACUUAAGCAUAUCAAUAAGCGGAGGAAAAGAAACCAACAGGGAUUGCCUCAGUAACGGCGAGUGAAGCGGCAACAGCUCAAAUUUGAAAUCUGCCUCUAGGCCGAAUUGUAAUUUGUAGAAGAUGCUUCGGGUGUGGCACUGGUCUAAGUUCCUUGGAACAGGACGUCAUAGAGGGUGAGAUCCCGUACGUGACUGGCUGC
rnacentral:rRNA from 1 species